GUCACAAUAAAAGUUAAUUAACUGGAGAAAAAUAUGUUUUGAGAAGUAUCAGAAAAUGCCAAAUUCUCUGCGAGAAUUGUUAAUCCUUUUUAAUAAGGUGCGGACCAUUAGCAAUCCCAGGAGGGGAGGGGUGGGGGUAUAACAUUUUUGCGGCACGAUUAUUUUUUCAGUCUCAUGUCUCUUUUUUAUGCAACUGACCUCUGCAAGAAUUUUUUUUCAAGGCUAUUUGCACUUUGCUGUUUGCUUGCACGAUUUUUUUUCUCUGACGUAAUGGCUGCGCGAAUUUUUUUCCAGGCAUUUUUCUUUGCACGAAUUUUUUUGGGGGAA